AUCUUUUUAGUAAAAAAAAUACAAAUGACUUCCAAUCAUUAAACCUUAGUUUAAACCUAAGAAAAGAUA
rnacentral:tRNA from 1 species